UGGGGAAUUUUGGACAUGGGCGCAAGCCUGAUCCAGCAAUGCCGCGUGCAGGAUGAAGGCCUUCGGGUUGUAAACUGCUUUUGUACGGAACGAAAAGCCUGGGGCUAAUAUCCCCGGGUCAUGACGGUACCGUAAGAAUAAGCACCGGCUAACUACGUGCCAGCAGCCGCGGUAAUACGUAGGGUGCAAGCGUUAAUCGGAAUUACUGGGCGUAAAGCGUGCGCAGGCGGUCUUGUAAGACAGAGGUGAAAUCCCCGGGCUCAACCUGGGAACUGCCUUUGUGACUGCAAGGCUGGAGUGCGGCAGAGGGGGAUGGAAUUCCGCGUGUAGCAGUGAAAUGCGUAGAUAUGCGGAGGAACACCGAUGGCGAAGGCAAUCCCCUGGGCCUGCACUGACGCUCAUGCACGAAAGCGUGGGGAGCAAACA
rnacentral:rRNA from 1 species